rnacentral:rRNA from 1 species
AGUGAACGCUGGCGGUAGGCCUAACACAUGCAAGUCGAACGGCAGCACAGUAAGAGCUUGCUCUUACGGGUGGCGAGUGGCGGACGGGUGAGGAAUACAUCGGAAUCUACUUUUUCGUGGGGGAUAACGUAGGGAAACUUACGCUAAUACCGCAUACGACCUACGGGUGAAAGCAGGGGAUCUUCGGACCUUGCGCGAUUGAAUGAGCCGAUGUCGGAUUAGCUAGUUGGCGGGGUAAAGGCGCACCAAGGCGACGAUCCGUAGCUGGUCUGAGAGGAUGUUCAGCCACACUGGAACUGAGACACGGUCCAGACUCCUACGGGAGGAAGCAGUGGGGAAUAUUGGACAAUGGGGGCAAGCCGGAUCCAGCCAUACCGCGUGGGUGAAGAAGGCCUUCGGGUUGUAAAGCCCUGUUGUUGGGAAAGAAAAGCAGCAGGUUAAUACCCCGCUGUUCUGACGGUACCCAAAGAAUAAGCACCGGCUAACUUCGUG